UAUAAUCAUAAUUGGUCUAGUCCAACAUUCUCAAAUCGUUUUAGAUUUAUGUUUUUUGAAUCCUUUCAAAUUUUUAGAUAUUAAUAUAAACUUACGAUAAAAAGGGCCAGACCCCCACAGAAAUUUAUAUGCAGACCCCCACGGAAAUUUAUGUUAUUAGAAUAAUGAAAUUAAUGACGUGCACAUUUAUUGCCACUACUCUUCAUGAUUUAAUAUACAAUAACACUCCCACAUAAUAACACCAACAAAAGAAAAGGAAAAAAAAAGAUAAUUAUAAAAAGGAAAAUCAAAAGGAUCUUGGGGUUUAUAUAUAUAUAAGAUAUCUAUAUUAUAUCAUCAAAUUGUUUAUUUUAUUUAAAUCAAUGACCUCUUGAAAAAAGAGUCUUUGAUGUCUUAAUUUUAUCGCUUGAGCCUUGAGCUAAUAUGCCCCUUGACAUCUUUAUUAUUUAUAAGCUUUCCCUCAAAAGAAAAAAAGGAAAAAAUUAUAAGCUAGCUGGUAAGAUGAAUCAAUUAGUGAGCGAUGGUACUUUAUUAUCAACAAAGAACAUGGUGAUCGACAAACUCAAUUUUGUCCUUCUCUCACUCUGUGUGAAUACACACAUUAAUUUACAACUAUUUAAACACAGUUUUUCCUCCGUCC
rnacentral:lncRNA from 1 species